rnacentral:lncRNA from 1 species
GAGAAACUCCUUGCAGUUGGCCUUGGGAAGCUGGGGAGGACUUGAAACUUCUAAGUGGCCCUGGGAGCAACCGGAGGUGGGGUGGGCCAGUGCCUGUAGGCCUGGGCCUGCCUGGCUGAGGAUCCCAGCUGGACUACUGCCUUGCUGUCUACAAAUGAUGGAGCCCUUCCAGUCUCAGCUUCCUCACAAGUAAAAUGCAGACGGCAAUGCCUCUUUCCAGUGACGUUGUGAGGAUUCGAUGGGAAGUUUCAUGAAAGCACUUAGCAGGGUUUUUGUUGAGUGCUCAGAAGGUGAUAGUUUGGUGUUGCUAGGGGAACAGAAGCCUGGGCUGAGAACAGGCCGUGGAGAGUCACAAAUGGUCUUCAGCCGUCGGAAGGCACUGUUAGAUUUACUCUUCACAAAGAACAUUUUGGGACAUCUUGGUGUACGGAUUAGAAGGAAGGACAGAAGCUGGUGAGCUGUGGGCCACAGGGUCAGCAGGGAGGAUACUGAAGCAGUCCACAGACGCAGCUGUGAGGGUGUCCUGGAGCUGGGGAGAGGGAGAGGAGUGGAUUAGAGACGUGUUUGGAAAGUGUUAAUAAGAUAGGCAGGGCUGAGGGGAGAGAACAAGAGAGGGAGAAGGGGGUAGAUUUUGAUGAGGAGGUGACGGCAGUGACAGUGACUGAGAGGAGCAAUAAAGCCAGGAGCAGGCUGUGGGAAGAGGGAGUGGCUUCCCUCAGAAGAGGCGCCGCCUCCCUAGCAGUGAGCAAAUGUGUUUAGGAACAUGUUCUUCCUCCCAAUCCAGAGACGGAUUGCUGAGAUGAUUCCUGCUUUCCGGCUCCCCGACACCCGCUGUUCUUUAGAUCCGCUCAGCGGCGCUUUUUCCUGUGCCACGUGCCCAGAUCUGAGCGAGGCUUGGGAAGACGCGAACGGGCUGUAAAAUCUGUCCCCAGAACUGGAGAGCACUUUGGCAAAGGAGUGUGAGUUUUGGGGAAGCUCAAGGAAGAGGUACCAGGUAGAGAGAGGGCCAGGGCUGAGUUCACGGGCUCUUUCUAAAUGGAAAUGUCUCACAUUCAGCUGUUGUCUGCCUUUGAGUCACACAGAACCACUUGCAGGAAGAACUCUAGAGAAUUUGGGAAGAAAGGGGGAGAGGACAGACAAAAGAUGCAUUUUUCUUUCAAGAAGCAGGAAAAUGUAAGGAAAAUUGAAGGUGUUCUCAAGUGUGUCUGCUGCUGCCUGACACAGGUUAACCCCGUCGCAGGUCACUCCGCUCUGUUAAUUGCAUCCUAACCUUCCUCGGCUCUUCGGCAGCGAAAUCGCAGCAGAGGAGAUGGAGCAGCUUCGUGCGCAUUGCUCAUUUGCGCCAACGUGAAAAGAACUGCCAGGAUGCCCAGGACACCAGCUCCCUGGCUUCUGCGGUGCUUGCACAGUCCUGAAUCAGCCCGAGAGCUGUGGAUCUGCGUCCCCUGGCUGCAUAGCCGACUGCCGGCUCCAUGGAGGGGCCUGUGCCGGAGAACGCACAUGUUGACUUAUUUCUUCAGUCUAGGCCUUUCUUGGCCCCCUUGGUUAUUCAUUCUAGAUGAUACAACUCUUAUUUCAGUUCAAAUGUCUCACGGAAGAGGCAUUGAAGACAGAGUGGAUGCCCGUGUUUGUUGGCAGUAGGUAGUAUUUACCACUCCGGUUGUAGUAAAAGAACAAAAGGAGAAAUUACACCUAUUUCUCAUAUUUAAGGGAAAAGCAAUUAAAUCACCAAAGUCAGAUUCUCGAGUAAUUGCUGGGCCCUUGGAGGGGCGGGCAAGGUGAGGUGUGAGGCCCCAGAUCUCUGUCUUGUGUGGGGCUGACACUGCCUGCUGGGGACUCCAAGCAGAGGCGGGGCCAGGGAAGGCAGCAUGCAGGGGGAAACCGAGAGCCUCUUGCCAGCCUCCCCUCCCAGCUGCUAUCCAUGCACUUGUCGUAGCUUCGCCGCUGUCCUCAGGCCAGGCAAGAGGUAGCAGGGCUCCACCUACAGAAGUUAUAGGAGGCGACUCUCAGAGCCUUGAUUUCCUCCAUUUGAAAUACUGAGAACAGUAUCUUCCAUACCUAGUUUCUAAAAGUUGUUAUGAAGAUUACGUAGAUUCAUACCUGUGAAGGCUGGUGAAAGAAUAAAACAGCCUAAACACACAAGGUGUUAAAAACAUCCCUUCCAACUAAAUAAUAGAUGAGUUGGAAUCCCAAGCAUGCUGGACAGCAGCAGUCACAGCCGAGGGGUGGGGGCCCCGUCCCUUACCAGGUGACCUCCCAUCGGUCAGGAGGACGAUGGCAUGUGGCAGUGCCGAGCACCACCUGGCUGGGAUCACUUCUCCCGCCUUCCUUUCUCCUUCUCCGGCCUGGGUCGGUAGCAUGGUCCGGAGAGCCAGCAGGCAGUCUCUCCCAGUCCGCAGAGGCAGAGGAGCGGUCUGAACGUGCAGGGCGGCCACUGCCAAGGCAGCCUGGGAUCAGGAGCUGCCCUGCACCUGGUGAUCUCUGCAAAUCAAUGCUUACCCAGAAGGAAAACCAAUUUACAUUGGUUCCUGUGGGUGCGGACAUUCCAGUCACAGAACAGCAGCUCUACAUCUAGGAGGCUCCUGAAGAACCCAAACUAACUGUGAAAAUGCAAGUGAAAAGUCCUGCUCUGGUGUGUUACAGGUGCUGCUUCUAGAAAACCCCUUUAUUAGAAAGCAGCAUGAAACCAGCGUUGGGAUAUAAGAGGAUGUGCUUUGUUAAAAGAAAACCUCUUUCUAAUACUCCCAACCAAAGGGCCAGAGGUCUUGUCUAACUAAAUGCCACCUUUCUGUGAUUCUUGGAGCUUCAUCUUCAAAGACUGAGAGGAUCCUCCUUCAUCUGAAACCUCUCAGAAAGGGAAAGGUUGGUCGUGACUUGUCCCCUCAACAAGGAACUUCAGGCACUGCCAACUGUGUUCAGUAACCCUUCUCUGACAGGAUGCUCUCCAGAAAAAUUCCUGCUAGCUUGACUCAGAAGAAGAGCAGCCUGUGCAUGAGCCUGUUCCCCUUGAGAAUUUCCUCUUCCUUCAUUAGUGUCUUGCGAUGGCCACAUUCUCCAUUUCUGUGACUUCCUACCAGCUUUUCAAAUGCUUAACUACAAACUAAAGUUAUUCUGGCAUUGGCAAUGUGAUCUCAGGAUUCCCACAACUAGCUUUCCUCAAGAUGAAUAUUGGGACGAGUUUGGCAGCAGACUGUAUGAUAAGGAGCACUGGAAUGGGAGUCAGAAAGCAUUGUGAACCCUACAGGGCAAGUGACUUCACCUCUCUUAAUCUCAUUGUCAUCAACUGUAAGUGAGAGUGAAUGAAGGAUGCUCCCAACUGUCAAACCCUGUAAGUUAAGAAAACCUGUGCUCCAGAGGAGAACAUGAACAUUGGCAAAAAGUGGACUAAAGCUUCUGCUGCACCACGAACCCAAGAAUUGUAGACAUAUCCCAGUGGCCAGAUGGCUGACUACCCACCGAAUCUAUCUUCCCAUUCUCUCAAGACUUCCAGCUACAUCAAGCUUCUUGCUCUUUCCUGAAUACUCCAAGAUACUUAUUCCUCUGUGCCUUUUCACAUGCUAUUUCUUCUUGGUGUCAGAUCUUUGUACCUCUCUGUCAACUGGAAGACUGUCCUCAAACGACUUCCCACAAGAAACCUUUCCAGAGGGGUCACUAGCAGUGUGAGUCACUCCCUCACUUAUGCUGAUAACAUUUUGCACUUGCCUUCUUGGUGAUUCUGAACCUUAUUUAUGUGUGCCCAUAUCUGCCUUCCCAUGUAGAUUCUGCCCAGCACAGUUCCUGGCAUACAGGUAUAGAAUAAAUGCAUGAAGCUCAAUUCUGCCCUUUGAUCGAGGAAUAAGAAUGGUGAUACAUUUGUCUGGUUCAGAGGGGAGCAAACAUUUCCAAUACUACUCUUUUAUGGUCUCCACAGAACACUUUCUUACAGUUAAAACUCUGCAAUAGGCAAUCCUACAAGGUGGCAAUGGGAAGGAAGAAUGCCUCCUGUAUUCCAGUGAUCAUAUUAUUUUGUUAAAAAGCUCAAGUUGCUAAUGGUUGGAGCAAGAUGGCAGAAUAGAAGGCUCCACUGAUCAUCUCCCUGGCAAUUACACCAACUUAGCAACUAUCUACAAAAUAAAGCUCCUUUAUAAGAAUCAAAAAUCAGGUGAACACUCACAGUAUCUGGUUUUAACUUUCCAUUACUGAAAGAGGCACUGAAGAGGUAGAAAAGAGUCUUGAUUCACCAGUGCUACCCUUUCCCCAUCUCUUGACAG